GAUGAAUGCUGGCGGCGCGCCUAACACAUGCAAGUCGAGCGGUAACAGGAGUAAUUUAUUACUUGCUGACGAGCGGCGGACGGCUGAGUAACGCGUGGGAACAUGCCCCAAAGUGAGGAAUAACUGCCCGAAAGGGUAGCUAAUGCCGCAUAUGGUCUUCGGAUUAAAGGAUUUAUCCGCUUUGGGAGUGGCCCGCGUACGAUUAGGUAGUUGGUGAGGUAAUGGCUCACCAAGCCCACGAUCGUUAACUGUUCUGAGAGGAUGAUCAGUCAGACUGGAACUGAGACACGGUCCAGACUCCUACGGGUGGCAG
rnacentral:rRNA from 1 species